GCUGAGACACGACGUCGAGCUACUACGGUAGUGAAGUCAUUGAUGCCAUGCUUCCAGGAAAAGCCUCUAAGCUUCAGAUUGUAAGGAAUCGUACCCCAAACCGACACAGGUGGUCGGGUAGAGAAUACCAAGGCGCUUGAGAGAACUCGGGUGAAGGAACUAGGCAAAAUGGUACCGUAACUUCGGGAGAAGGUACGCUCUUGAUGGUGAAGUCCCUUGCGGAUGGAGCUGACGAGAGUCGCAGAUACCAGGUGGCUGCAACUGUUUAUUAAAAACACAGCACUGUGCAAAAUCGUAAGAUGACGUAUACGGUGUGACGCCUGCCCGGUGCCGGAAGGUUAAUUGAUGGGGUUAGCGUAAGCGAAGCUCUUGAUCGAAGCCCCGGUAAACGGCGGCCGUAACUAUAACGGUCCUAAGGUAGCGAAAUUCCUUGUCGGGUAAGUUCCGACCUGCACGAAUGGCGUAAUGAUGGCCACGCUGUCUCCACCCGAGACUCAGUGAAAUUGAAAUCGCUGUGAAGAUGCAGUGUACCCGCGGCUAGACGGAAAGACCCCGUGAACCUUUACUACAGCUUGGCACUGAACAUUGAACCUACAUGUGUAGGAUAGGUGGGAGGCUUUGAAGACGUGACGCCAGUUGCGUUGGAGCCGUCCUUGAAAUACCACCCUUGUAUGUUUGAUGUUCUAACGUUGGCCCCUAAUCGGGGUUGCGGACAGUGCCUGGUGGGUAGUUUGACUGGGGCGGUCUCCUCCCAAAGAGUAACGGAGGAGCACGAAGGUGGGCUAAUCACGGUUGGACAUCGUGAGGUUAGUGCAAUGGCAUAAGCCCGCUUAACUGCGAGAAUGACGGUUCGAGCAGGUGCGAAAGCAGGUCAUAGUGAUCCGGUGGUUCUGAAUGGAAGGGCCAUCGCUCAACGGAUAAAAGGUACUCCGGGGAUAACAGGCUGAUACCGCCCAAGAGUUCAUAUCGACGGCGGUGUUUGGCACCUCGAUGUCGGCUCAUCACAUCCUGGGGCUGAAGUCGGUCCCAAGGGUAUGGCUGUUCGCCAUUUAAAGUGGUACGCGAGCUGGGUUUAGAACGUCGUGAGACAGUUCGGUCCCUAUCUGCCGUGGGCGUUGGAAGAUUGAAGGGGGCUGCUCCUAGUACGAGAGGACCGGAGUGGACGAACCUCUGGUGUUCGGGUUGUGUCGCCAGACGCAUUGCCCGGUAGCUAAGUUCGGAAUCGAUAACCGCUGAAAGCAUCUAAGCGGGAAGCGAGCCCUGAGAUGAGUCUU
rnacentral:rRNA from 1 species